rnacentral:rRNA from 1 species
UGGGGAAUAUUGCACAAUGGGCGAAAGCCUGAUGCAGCAACGCCGCGUGAGUGAUGAAGGUCUUCGGAUUGUAAAGCUCUGUCUUUUGGGACGAUAAUGACGGUACCAAAGGAGGAAGCCACGGCUAACUACGUGCCAGCAGCCGCGGUAAUACGUAGGUGGCGAGCGUUGUCCGGAUUUACUGGGCGUAAGGGUGCGUAGGCGGAUGUUUAAGUGAGAUGUGAAAUACCCGGGCUUAACUUGGGUGCUGCAUUUCAAACUGGAUAUCUAGAGUGCAGGAGAGGAGAAUGGAAUUCCUAGUGUAGCGGUGAAAUGCGUAGAGAUUAGGAAGAACACCAGUGGCGAAGGCGAUUCUCUGGACUGUAACUGACGCUGAGGCACGAAAGCGUGGGUAGCAAACAGGAUUAGAUACCCUGGUAGUCCACGCCGUAAACGAUGAGUACUAGGUGUAGGAGGUAUCGACCCCCUUCUNUGCCGCAGUAAACACAUUAAGUACUCCGCCU